rnacentral:rRNA from 1 species
GACGAACGCUGGCGGCGUGCUUAACACAUGCAAGUCGAACGGAAAGGCCCUGCUUUUGUGGGGUGCUCGAGUGGCGAACUGGUAAGUACCACGUGAGUAACCUGCCCUUGACUUUGGGAUAACUUCAGGAAACUGGCGCUAAUACCGGAUAGUAGCUCCUGCUGCAUGGUGGGGGAUGGAAUGUUUCGGCGGUUGGGGAUGGACUCGCGGCUUAUCAGCUUGCUGGUGGGGUAGUGGCUUACCAAGGCUUUGACGAGUAGCCGGCCUGAGAGGGUGACCGGACACAUUGGGACUGAGAUGCGGCACAGACUACUACGGGACGCAGGAGUGGGGAAGGUUGCACUACGGGAGGAAGCGUAAUGCAGCAACGCCGCGUGCGGUAAGACGGCCAGCGGGUUGUAAACCGCUGUCGCGUGUGACGAAGAGUGAGUGACGGUAAUAGGUAAAGAAGCACCGGCUAAAUACGUG